AAUCAACGCUGGCGGCGUGCCUCAGACAUGCAAGUCGAACGAUUAAAGCUCUCUUCGGAGAGUGCAUAGAGUGGCGCACGGGUGAGUAACACGUAAGUAAUCUACCUUCGAGCGGGGAGUAACGUCCGGAACGGACGCUAAUACCGCAUAAUGCAGCGGCAUCAUAAGAUGACAGUUGUUAAAGAUUUAUUCGCUUGAAGAGGAGCUUGCGGCAGAUUAGCUAGUUGGUAAGGUAAUGGCUUACCAAGGCUACGAUCUGUAACCGGGUCUAAGAGGACGGUCGGUCACACUGACACUGAAUAACGGGUCAGACUCCUACGGGAGGCAGCAGUCGGGAA
rnacentral:rRNA from 1 species